AUGGGGAGGACGCUGGACGUGCUGCUGGGCCGAACCACCAAGCAGACGGCGCGCCUCAAGUCCCUGCUGCACCUCGCCACGAAGCGGAUGGCCGUGGUGCGCGCGCACCGGGAGGUGCGGUGCGCGCAGGCGCGGGGGGACGUGGAGCAGCUGCUGCGGCAGGGCCACCCGGACCGCGCCCUCCUCCGCGCCGAGCAGGUCAUCCGGGAGCGGGGCACGCUCGACGCCCUCCUCCUGCUCGACGCCUACUGCGCGCUCCUCGCCGACCGCUCGGCCCUGCUCGACGACGCGCACCGCGACUGCCCCGAGGAGCUGCGGGAGGCGGCGGCGCGCUGCGGGGACCUCCCCGAGCUGCAGGAGGCCCGCGCCCUCCUCGCCGCCAGGUUCGGCCGGGGCUUCGCGUCCGGCGCCGCCGAGCUGCGCGCCGGCUGUGGCGUCAGCGCCAAGCUCGUGCAGCGGCUCUCCACCGCGCUGCCCAGCCUCGAGAGCCGCCAGAUGGUGCUCCUUGAGAUCGGCGCCGACAAGGACAUCCCCGUGCGCAUCCACAGCGACGCCGCCGACUCCUACGGCCACGAGGAUUCGGACGGCCGUUCCCACCAUGGCCACAGGAAGAAGAGGCACGACGACGACGAGCGGCGGCACGCGACGCCGCGGGCCAACCAGCCGGAGGGAGACAAGGCCGCCUCGAAGCUGACAUUCAAAGACGUGGAAGAGGCGGCGCAGGCCGCGUUCGAAUCGGCUGCCACGGCAGCGGCCGCCGCCAAGGCUGCCAUAGAGCUCUCGCGAGCCGGGCCAGGGAGCUCCGACGACAGGUACCGGAGGAACGCGCAUGCCGACGACGAGGUGCUCCACGGCGGCGAUGAUCUGGCCGAUCGCAAGGCCUUCAAGAGGAUUGGACAUGUUCGGAACUACAGCUCAGACGCAGAGGAUCUCCCGGAGAAGAAACACGGAGAAGAGCAGGAUACGCCCAGGAAGUUGCCGGCUUCAGUCAGGACGGACAGAAGACUCUAG
rnacentral:rRNA from 1 species